CUGCUCCCUCCUGUGGGAUCACUAAAGGUUUACUGCUUUGGGAUGGGGUUGCGUUCCAUCAACUAGUUGGUAGGGUAAAGGCCUACCAAGGCGACGACGGAUAGCCGGCCUGAGAGGGUGGCCGGCCACAGAGGGCACUGAGACACGGGCCCCACUCCUACCUGGAGGCAGCAUCAGGAAUCUUCCACAAUGGGCGAAAGCCUGAUGGACGACGCCUCGUGAGGGAUAAAGGUUUUCGGAUCGUAAACCUCUGAAUCACGGGACAAAAGACGCUUUAUGCGGGAUGACGGUACCUGAGUAAUAGUACCGGGCUAACUCCGUGCCAGCAGCCGCGGUAAUA
rnacentral:rRNA from 1 species